ACCCCGACUUCCAGGAGGGGUGUAUUUAUUAGAUAAAAAACCAAUGCCCUCCGGGGCUCUCUGGUGAUUCAUAAUAACUUAACGAAUCGCAUGGCCUUGUGCCGGCGAUGGUUCAUUCAAAUUUCUGCCCUAUCAACUUUCGAUGUUAGGGUCUUGGCCUACCAUGGUUUCAACGGGUAACGGGGAAUUAGGUACGUUUCAUGUUUUCAUCGCAUUUUCCGAUCUUCCUGACCUUGGCUAAUUCAUAUUUGGUAGGGUUUGAUUCCGGAGAGGGAGCCUGAGAAACGGCUACCACAUCCAAGGAAGGCAGCAGGCGCGCAAAUUACCCAAUGCCAAUUCGGCGAGGUAGUGACAAUACAUACUGAUACAGGGCUCUUUUGGGUCUUGUAAUUGGAAUGAGUACAAUUUAAAUCCCUUAACGAGGAACAAUUGGAGGGCAAGUCUGGUGGACUCGGUCCCACGGAAAAGCUCAAUUUUCUGUGCUGACGCCAGAAAUAGCAGUUAUGCUUGCUAGUCGACUGUACGAAAUCUUUGGGUGUACAGCGGCCAGACAACCUGGAUCGGGGGAAGCUAAGGAUGGAUAUUUUAUCUAUGCUAAUCCCGAGCCGAGUCAUAGCCAGGAGAGACGUGGAUAUGACCGGUGUAGAGCGCGGWAAGGUGUCGGCUGACCUACAUGGGUGCACURCAUGUAGGUAGUUUAAGGGACGUGCCAACCCCACACGAAAGUGUGUUUCUAGCCGAAGCUCCCAAAGAGUGYAGGUUAGUUAUACAAACUUGUAGUUUGUAUGGUGAUGAUGGAUUGUUGACAUGUGUGGGACCUGUGAAUUGUAAACCUUUGAUGUUUGUUAGCAUUUGGCGAAAAUGUCGAUGGGCUAUCUCUYGCUUGAGCUAGAUUGCGUCAAGAGACUGCGUGAGUCUUGUGUGCACGUUGAACAAUUCGAGGACUGCAGAUGUCACGUCUAUCUCGAAGUGGCCAGCAGCCGCGGUAAUUCCAGCUCCAAUAGCGUAUAUUAAAGUUGUUGCAGUUAAAAAGCUCGUAGUUGAACCUUGGGUCUGGCUAGCCGGUCCGCCUCACCGCGAGCACUGGUCCGGCCGGGCCUUUCUUCCUGGGGAGCCGCAUGCCCUUCACUGGGUGUGGUGGGGAACCAGGACUGUUACUGUGAAAAAAUUAGAGUGUUCCAAACAGGCCUCGAUGCUCGAAUACAUUAGCAUGGAAUAACGGAGUAGGCCGUCACGGUUCUAUUUUGUUGGUUUCUAGGACCGUCGGAAUGAUUAAUAGGGCCAGUUGGGGAUAUUAGUAUUCAACUGUCAGAGGUGAAAUUCUUGGAUUUGUUGAAGACUAGCUACUGCGAAAGCAUUUAUCAAGGAUGUUUUCAUUAAUC
rnacentral:rRNA from 1 species